CGAGUCUGAUGGAGCACGCCGCGUGAGUGAAGAAGGGUUUCGGCUCGUAAAACUCUGUUGUUAAAGAAGAACAUAUCUGAGAGUAACUGUUCAGGUAUUGACGGUAUUUAACCAGAAAGCCACGGCUAACUACGUGCCAGCAGCCGCGGUAAUACGUAGGUGGCAAGCGUUGUCCGGAUUUAUUGGGCGUAAAGCGAGCGCAGGCGGUUUUUUAAGUCUGAUGUGAAAGCCUUCGGCUCAACCGAAGAAGUGCAUCGGAAACUGGGAAACUUGAGUGCAGAAGAGGACAGUGGAACUCCAUGUGUAGCGGUGAAAUGCGUAGAUAUAUGGAAGAACACCAGUGGCGAAGGCGGCUGUCUGGUCUGUAACUGACGCUGAGGCUCGAAAGUAUGGGUAGCAAACAGGAUUAGAUACCCUGGUAGUCCAUACCGUAAACGAUGAAUGCUAAGUGUUGGAGGGUUUCCGCCCUUCAGUGCUGCAGCUAACGCAUUAAGCAUUCCGCCUGGGGAGUACGGCCGCAAGGCUGAAACUCAAAGGAAUUGACGGGGGCCCGCACAAGCGGUGGAGCAUGUGGUUUAAUUCGAAGCUACGCGAAGAACCUUACCAGGUCUUGACAUACUAUGCAAAUCUAAGAGAUUAGACGUUCCCUUCGGGGACAUGGAUACAGGUGGUGCAUGGUUGUCGUCAGCUCGUGUCGUGAGAUGUUGGGUUAAGUCCCGCAACGAGCGCAACCCUUAUUAUCAGUUGCCAGCAUUAAGUUGGGCACUCUGGUGAGACUGCCGGUGACAAACCGGAGGAAGGUGGGGAUGACGUCAAAUCAUCAUGCCCCUUAUGACCUGGGCUACACACGUGCUACAAUGGAUGGUACAACGAGUUGCGAACUCGCGAGAGUAAGCUAAUCUCUUAAAGCCAUUCUCAGUUCGGAUUG
rnacentral:rRNA from 2 species